GAUGAACGCUGGCGGCGCGCCUAACACAUGCAAGUCGAACGAUUAAAGCACCUUCGGGUGUGUAUAAAGUGGCGAACGGCUGAGUAACACGUGGGCAACCUGCCCCUUUCAUUGGGAUAGCCACGGGGAACCGUGGAUAAUACCGAAUACUUCGAGACUUCCGCAUGGAAGACUCGAGAAAGCUCCGGCGGAGAGGGAUGGGCCCGCGGCCUGUUAGCUUGUUGGUGGGGUAACGGCCUACCAAGGCAAUGAUGGGUAGCUGGGUUGAGAGACCGACCAGCCAGAUUGGGACUGAGACACGGCCCAGACUCCUACGGGAGGCAGCAGUGGGGAAUCUUGCACAAUGGGCGAAAGCCUGAUGCAGCGACGCCGCGUGCGGGGUGAAGGCCUUCGGGUUGUAAACCGCUUUCAGCAGGGACGAGGCGAAAGUGACGGUACCUGCAGAAGAAGCCCCGGCUAACUACGUG
rnacentral:rRNA from 1 species